rnacentral:rRNA from 1 species
CAAUAGCGUAUAUUAAUGUUGUUGCGGUUAAAAAGCUCGUAGUCGAAUUUGUGAUUUUGUAGGCCCGGCUCAUUGUCUAGUACAGUGUUGUUUGGUGCCUGCGGGUCAUACUUCUGGAGAGCAUUUCUGCCCUUGAUUGGGUUGGUUAUGUGAUCUGGAUCGUUUACCGUGAGUAAACCAAAGUGUUCAAAGCUUGCUUUGAUGCUGCGAUGUAUUAGCAUGGAAUAAUAAGAUAAGGCUUGGUCUUAUCUUGUUGGCUGAUAGACCAACGUAAUGAUUGAAAGGGAUGGUUGGGGGUGCUAGUAUUUAGCGGUCAGCGGUGAAAUGCGAAGACCCGUUAAAGACUAACUUAUGCGAAAGCAUUCACCAAGGACAUCUUCUUUG